UACAGAGGGUGCGAGCGUUUGUCCGGAAUCAUUGGGCGUAAAGAGCGUGUAGGCGGUUUGGUAGGUCCGCUGUGAAAACUCGAGCUCAACCUCGAGACGCCGGUGGAAACCAUCAGACUAGAGUCCGGAAGAGGAGAGUGGAAUUCCUGGUGUAGCGGUGAAAUGCGCAGAUAUCAGGAGGAACACCGAUGGCGAAGGCAGGUCUCUGGGCCGAUACUGACGCUGAGGAGCGAAAGCGUGGGGAGCGAACAGG
rnacentral:rRNA from 1 species